GAUGAACGCUGACAGAAUGCUUAACACAUGCAAGUCGAUUCAAAGUUCCCUUCGGGGAAUGGAGGAUGGCGGACGGGUGAGUAACGCAUAAGGAACUUGCCUUUUGGCCUGGGACAACUGUUGGAAACGACAGCUAAUACCGGAUAUUAUGAGAUUCUCGCAUGGGAAACUUAUGAAAGCUAUAUGCGCCAAAAGAGAGCCUUGCGUUCCAUUAGCUAGUUGGUGGGGUAACGGCCCACCAAGGCGACGAUGGAUAGCCGGCCUGAGAGGGUGAACGGCCACAAGGGGACUGAGACACGGCCCUUACUCCUACGGGAGGCAGCAGUGGGGAAUAUUGGACAAUGGACCACAAGUCUGAUCCAGCAAUUCUGUGUGCACGAUGAAGGUUUUCGGAUCGUAAAGUGCUUUCAGUUGGGAAGAAGAAAGUGACGGUACCAACAGAAGAAGCGACGGCUAAAUACGUGCCAGCAGCCGCGGUAAUACGUAUGUCGCAAGCGUUAUCCGGAUUUAUUGGGCGUAAAGCGCGUCUAGGCGGAAAAGAAAGUCUGAUGUUAAAAUGCGGGGCUCAACUCCGUAUUGCGUUGGAAACUGCUUUUCUAGAGUACUGGAGAGGUGGGCGGAACUACAAGUGUAGAGGUGAAAUUCGUAGAUACUUGUAGGAAUGCCGAUGGAGAAGUCAGCUCACUGGACAGAUACUGACGCUAAAGCGCGAAAGCGUGGGGAGCAAACAGG
rnacentral:rRNA from 1 species